UACAGAGGAGCCAAGCGUUGUCCGGAUUGAUUGGGCGUAAAGCGUCCGCAGGUGGCAAUGUAAGUCUGCUGUCAAAGCGUCUGGCUCAACCAGAUAAAGGCAGUGGAAACUACAUAGCUAGAGUAAGGUAGGGGUAGAGGGAAUUCCUGGUGUAGCGGUGAAAUGCGUAGAGAUCAGGAAGAACACCGGUGGCGAAAGCGCUCUGCUGGACCUUAACUGACACUGAGGGACGAAAGCUAGGGGAGCGAAUGGG
rnacentral:rRNA from 1 species